UUGUCAGGUAGGAUAAUCCAUACCUGUUUCUUCAGAGGGCAGAUGGAACAUGAUGAUUGGAGUUUGCAUGAUUAGUGAUUAACAUCUCUGUGUGAUUGGGCUCAAAAUACCCUACUUGUGCCUUUCUGAU